rnacentral:lncRNA from 1 species
UAAUCCCAUCUACAUAAGAUCCAGUGAACAUCAAAAAAUCAUAAACCAUACGCAAAUGUUGUGUAUAACACCAAAACUUAAAAAAAAUACACAACAAAAUUAAUAAAAACAAAACAAUAAAAUCCGAACUAAUCAAAAUCUGGAACAAAUCUUCCUGGAAAUUCUCUAUCAGUAUCAUAGCCCUCCAACUGCUUGUUCCUAGCAUGCAUAAAUAGGUUUGUGCAUAACUUUUUCCGAUACUUCGCAAUGGGGAAAGGAAUAGGAAUCUGAUCAAACUUCUGAUGAAUGACAUGCUCAGCAAAACAAAUUGUGAAUAUCCCACAAUCACUGUAAUAACAAACAACAUAUAACAAAAAUCAAAAAUAAAAUCAACCUAUAUGUAAUAAUUAAAAAAAUGUACACAAUUUAACCCUUAC